GCCGGGCAUGGUGGUGCAUGCCUGUAGUCCCAGCUAUUUGGGAGGCUGAGGCAGAAGAAUUGCUUGAACCCGGGAGGCGGAGGUUGUAGUGAGCCAAGAUUGUGCCACUGCACUCCAGCCUGGGUGACAGAGCAAGACUCUAUCUCAA
ensembl:misc_RNA Metazoa_SRP Metazoan signal recognition particle RNA